UACUCAAAUUACUGUCUGAUUGGUUGAUCUGGGUUUGGCGCGUCUAUUUGAACAUACGGAAGCGGUAAGUUACACAACAUCGAAACAUUUGGCUGUGUGUGCUGAUUUGUGUUUAGUGAAAAGCUAAGUUAUGAAAUUAGCGUGAACGUAAACGUGUUUUGCAUGUUUAAAGUAACUUUCUCGGUAGGCUAUCAUUGACUUGUUCAGAAGAUCAUGUCAGAAAGUAAAGUUUGCUAACUAGCUAAGUCUAUGUUGUUACAAUGUGUCAACGGUUGUGAAAGUGCUACUUUAUAGGUAACUAUUGCAGCGCAUGCUACAAUCUGGCACUACGAAGACAAAAGUGAAAGCAACUUUCAUUUUGUAUUCCCAUUAUAUUGAAUGAUAUGAAUGCCCUAUUGAUGUGAUGACCAUAAUGGUGACAUCUUCAGAAAGGAAUUUGAUACAGAAAUAUUUGUUAUUUUUAUUUAACCUUUAGUUAACUAUAGUCUCUCAUCUUACCUGGACUUUCUGACUCCAGAAUUGUAUAUUUGUAUUUCUUCAGCGGCAUAGUGAAGACUGGGAACAGUGGGUUAGACACUUUGACCUCUUCAAGAGACCCCUUGUGGACAGACCCUGACAACUUAUCUCUCCAGCCAGAAGUAAUUGACCCCUUCCUCUCAGUCUGGUUGUGUUUAAGUGUUGAGCUGGACCACCAAUUCAAAAUCUGUCUCUGUGAGUGUUGGGGACUAUGGGCCUUAUUAGUGUCCCGUUUCCUGGUGAAAAUGGAUGCCACUUUCUCAUCCGAGACCCUGGUUGUCCCAGAGGCAGACUGCACCGCUGCUUGAAUUGUGAGGGUACAUGCUAUUUCAUUCUGGCCAGAUGUGAGUCCAACUCCUGCUCUAUGGCAUUAGCCAGUGACUUGAGCCAUGUCCACAGACCCCAUCACUGCCCUGCUCCUGAAUGCUGUGUCAGCACUGGAGCAGCUUGACUCUGAAAUCACUAUAACAUUAUUAGGAGGGUCUGAGCAGGGGCUAUCCUUGAUGAGGCUUGUUCUUGCUUCGGGGUAUCUGUUCCACUUGAGUCUGUGCAGCCUACUGGUUGACCGUGACACAGAGAGAGGCACCUCAUCAUAAGACCCCCCAAUACGACAAGGCGCCAUCUUAGGUUUCUCUUUCACCUGCUCAGAAAUUAGGCUCUUCCUCCCAAGAGGUUGUGGGGUUAUACUUAAGUACUUUGUGAUGUCAUUGGAUUUUGGGCACCCAGCCUUCUUCUCUAUGGCCAAGUAGGGGCGAUAACCACAUCUUUCUUGCCUAGUUAACUCUAUUCUAUCUGUGUCAUGUUCUUAUUGUCAUGUAUACAGUCUGUGUGGUGCCAUACUCUAGUAUCAGAUUCAGUCAUAUUGGUCGCCUUUUAUUUCAGAGACAGAGAUAGGCGCUACAUCUCCUAGCUCUGUAGGAGAGAAGAGGAAACAUCAGAAUGAGAGGGAGGACCCUGAAACAGUACGCAAGCGCCAAAGGUCUAGCCCGUGUUUAGAGACCAGCUUUACUGGGUAUAGUCCCUCUUUAGAACACCAAGUCAGGGGGUCUCUUAUCCCCUCUUCCAGGGGUCAGCCUAGAAGAAGCAGGCUGAGCCGAACACAAAGACUCAGGCGGCAACAGCGGGAAAGUCAAGGUCUGGGGAUAGGUCAGGAACUGACCCCUAACCCACCAAACCAACCAGAAUCUCCUCAGAAGGUCUAUCCUGCCCAACCACAGCGAUGCCUUAGGAGAGGUGAUGAUUCCUAAUACAGAUUGUUGUUGAAACUACAAUGUAUUUACUUUUCUUUGUCCAAUUUUGAAUGUCCUAACUAUGUAUGCCCCGGACCACUAGAAUACAGAGGUGCUUUAGCUCUGUCAUUGAUUGGGAUCUGCCAUUGGCCUUCAAGAUAUGUACCUUUAUUUUUCUGUUGUGAAGUUCACAACAUUGAGGAUUUGCUGUGGACAGAGAAGUACCGCUCUCAGCACUCCAGUGAGGUAAUAGGCAACUCUGUCUCUGUAAAGAAGCUACACAGGUGAGUUGCUAACACCACUGCUAGCUCCUUCAAUGUCUAGCUUUUAUGGUAUGGUGUCCUUAUUUCUGUUUGCAGUUGGUUAAAGAAAUGGAAACAGAGAGUCGACUGUGAAGAGAGGAGAAAAGAGCGAGUAAGGAAAAUUAGAAGAAAAUGCCAACAGCAAUGUGUUGACCUCCGGUUUGGCUGUGCAGACUUCCAGGGAGAGGCUAGAGUGGAGGAGGAAGAUCUGUGUCGCACAAUGCUGAUCACAGGACCGCCAGGGGUGGGCAAGACUGCCUCGGUAUACGCCUGCGCUCAGGAGCUGGGCUUCAAGGUGUUCAAAGUGAACGCCUCCACCCACCCAGCGGUCGCCACAUCCUGACCUAACUGAAAGAGGCCACCCAAUCUCACCUGGUGGAGAAUAAUCUCACCAGGGAAGCACCACCUUCAAACCAUCUCAUCUUAGUAGCUACAACAACACCUCAACUAAAUCUGACACAGUAGCUGUCUCUCUCAAGACCGUGACUGUGAAGAAGGCAGAUAUUAUUAACCCUACGUUGGUCAGUCAACUGUCACCAGACGUUGAAGAGCCACCAACAGGUUGAUGUCUUAUUCGAUGAUGAUGUGGGAUUCCUCACAGCAAUCAAGACCUUCAUGAAGACAACCAAGAGACCUGUGAUACUGACCACUAGUGAUCCCUCCUUCAAGGCAAAGUUUGACGGCGACUUUGAAGCGAUCCUUUUUAAAACCCCUUCAGUAGUGAAUGUUUGCAGUUAUCUGCAGCUACUGUGCCUGGCUGAGAACGUCAGGAUGGAUGCUGCUCACCUCACCUCUGGAUCUGCAGUGGAGGAGGACAAGCAUCUCAGAGGGCAACCCCCACUGAAGGACCCUGCAGGUGGUGUGUAUGGAAUGCCCGUCCUGGGCUAAACCAGACAUCAUCAAGCUGAUGGAGAUCCUUACUGAGAGCUGGAGGAGAGGUGUAGCUUUGCUCUACUCGAACCUGGAGCUCCUCCUUCCCCUACCAGUCAGGACCCAGCCCAGUCCUCUCCUCACUGAAAAGAAAGUGACUCGCCCUAGGCUUCAGAGUGAGCCACCACCCUCAGAUCCCACUGAUCCUGGAUCAAUCCAGUUAAGGUGUCCUCUGGCUCCAGGCUGAGGAGAAAGAAAUGUCUGCCAACAUCUGAUUCCAGAUCAGCUCAUAUCAUGUUAUGUUCGAGUAGAGCCUUACAGAGCCUCACUGUCUCUGAGGGCUCAUCCAAGUGUAUCAAAUAUUAUUGAGACUUAAUGACAAACUUCAAACUGAGAAGGCGGCAGAUGGCUUGGUGUACGACUGCUUAGAUGCAAUAACUGACUUUAUGGACCUCAUGUCCUUCAUUGAUACCUCUCUACUGAGUGAGUCUCCACAUAAGGCUGGCCCAUGCAGACCAAGGGCUUUUCUCUAGACAGGGGCGGAGGUUAAGUAUGGACUGCUAGAUGAGUUGAGGAUGGGGGGCUGUAGGUGGUUGUGUGAGAGGACAUUAGAGAUCCAGGCUACAGUAGAGGGCCUGGGCUUCCGGAUGGGCUGGAUCCCAGAGGCUGGAGGGGGAGCAGAUGGGGAGGGGGAUGGAGAAACUCACCCUCCCUGUCGCCCCACCCAGACGAGGUUUCAACGUCAGUCAGACCACUUCCUGUGAUCCUAGGCGAGUGCAGUUUCCUGAGUAUUCUGUUAUUCUUUCACUGUAAGAAAUGCAUUGGUGGCUCAGUCCUCUAAAUUACCAUACAUGCUUAUGUGAAGUUAGCACUCACAUUUGUAAUGUUGUUAGAAUUUGGUUCAAACUGUUAGUCAGAAAUGAGCAUUAUUGCAAACAAAACCUUCUGGUGGUAUCUGAACAGCAGUUUGUCUUCCGGCGUGGUCGAAAGGAGAUGUGACGUCAUCAGAACCGUCCUCUCAAGCUGAGCCUUCUGCACCGUGGGAAACAAGCAAGCUGUUGCCGUGGUCUACCUGCCUGUUCUCCGCGCCCUGUGCCUAUCAGAGAGAACUCAGGAGCAGGGCCAAGGCAGGUUUCUGCAUUACCUCAGCAGUAUUCACCUGGGCCUCCCUAAGGCCUGAGACUCCUUGCAGGUGAUUUCCCAUGACCAUUUAAGUCAGUUCUGGCUCUACACUGCAUUACAGUGGGGUUAAUGCUAUUAUCUCCCUAUGUUAAUGACUUGUGAUUUAGUGAAUGUAGCCCAUAUGGGUGUUCAUGAUAAGGUUUGCUGUACAUUCAUUCAUGCUUAUUACACUGAGUGAGAAGAGUCUACUGUAUGCAUUCAAAAUGUAUAAUAAAUAAAAUAUGAAAUCCUA